rnacentral:rRNA from 1 species
UGAGGCUUCGGCGGAAUCUUGUUAAAUCUUAGUGGCGGACGGGUGAGUAACGCGUGGGCAACCUGCCUCGUACUGGGGGAUAACAGUUGGAAACGACUGUUAAUACCGCAUAAGCGCACGGUACCGCAUGGUACAGUGUGAAAAACUCCGGUGGUACGAGAUGGGCCCGCGGUCAGAUUAGCCAGUUGGUGGGUAACGGCCUACCAAAGCAACGAUCUGUAGCCGGACUGAGAGGUCGGACGGCCACAUUGGGACUGAGACACGGCCCAAACUCCUACGGGAGGCAGCAGUGGGGGAUAUUGCACAAUGGGCGAAAGCCUGAUGCAGCGACGCCGCGUGAGUGAAGAAGUAUUUCGGUAUGUAAAGCUCUAUCAGGCAGGGAAGAAAGACUCGUAAGAGAGAUGACGGUACCUGACUAAGAAGCCCCGGCUAACUACGUGCCAGCCGCAGC